rnacentral:misc_RNA from 1 species
GAUGAAGAACGCAGUGAAAUGCGAUAAGUAAUGUGAAUUGCAGAAUUCAGUGAAUCAUCGAAUCUUUGAACGCACAUUGCGCCCGCCAGCAUUCUGGCGGGCAUGCCUGUUCGAGCGUCAUUUCAACCCUCGCAGCCCAUCUGGGCAGCGGUGUUGGGGACCGGCACCACCGGCGAAGCCCUUAGGGGCCCAGCCGGCGCCGCCCCCGAAAUACAGUGGCGGUCUCGCUGCAGCCUCCCUUGCGUAGUAGCACACCUCGCACCGGAGCGCAGCGCGGCCACGCCGUAAAACCCCCGACUUUCUGAGUUUGACCUCGAAUCAGGUAGGAAUACCCGCUGAACUUAAGCAUAUCAAUAGCGGAGGA